GAACGCAUAUUGCGGCCAUGGGUUAGCCUGUGGCCACGCCUGUCCGAGGGUCGGCUUAUAAACUAUCACGACGCCCAAAAAGUCGUGGCUUGGGUUUUGCCAGCUGGCGUGAUCUCCUCUAUGAGUAAUCAUGUGAGGUGCCAGAUCUAUGGCGUUUCCCUAAUGUAUCCGGAUGCACCCUUGUCUUGGCGGAAAGCCGUGGUGAGGUGCAGUGGCGGAAUCGUGGUUUAAUAAUCGGGUUGGUACUCAGUUGUCAGUGUGUUCGGCGAUCCCCUAGUCGGCACACUCAUGAUUUCUGGGAUAAUUCCAUACCAGGCACGUUCCGUUACUGUUACUUUGUCAUUGGUUUGAUGCUGAACUUGGUCAUGUGUCUGAUGCUAUUUCAUAUAACGACGGUACCCUUCGUGGUCUGUCUUCCUGACCUCGGUUCAGACGUGAUUACCCGCUGAACUUAAGCAUAUCACUAAGCGGAGGAAAAGAAACUAACCGGGGA
rnacentral:rRNA from 1 species